GGCGUGCCUAAUACAUGCAAGUCGAACGCUUCUUUUUCCACCGGAGCUUGCUCCACCGGAAAAAGAGGAGUGGCGAACGGGUGAGUAACACGUGGGUAACCUGCCCAUCAGAAGGGGAUAACACUUGGAAACAGGUGCUAAUACCGUAUAACAAUCGAAACCGCAUGGUUUUGAUUUGAAAGGCGCUUUCGGGUGUCGCUGAUGGAUGGACCCGCGGUGCAUUAGCUAGUUGGUGAGGUAACGGCUCACCAAGGCCACGAUGCAUAGCCGACCUGAGAGGGUGAUCGGCCACAUUGGGACUGAGACACGGCCCAAACUCCUACGGGAGGCAGCAGUAGGGAAUCUUCGGCAAUGGACGAAAGUCUGACCGAGCAACGCCGCGUGAGUGAAGAAGGUUUUCGGAUCGUAAAACUCUGUUGUUAGAGAAGAACAAGGAUGAGAGUAACUGUUCAUCCCUUGACGGUAUCUAACCAGAAAGCCACGGCUAACUACGUGCCAGCAGCCGCGGUAAUACGUAGGUGGCAAGCGUUGUCCGGAUUUAUUGGGCGUAAAGCGAGCGCAGGCGGUUUCUUAAGUCUGAUGUGAAAGCCCCCGGCUCAACCGGGGAGGGUCAUUGGAAACUGGGAGACUUGAGUGCAGAAGAGGAGAGUGGAAUUCCAUGUGUAGCGGUGAAAUGCGUAGAUAUAUGGAGGAACACCAGUGGCGAAGGCGGCUCUCUGGUCUGUAACUGACGCUGAGGCUCGAAAGCGUGGGGAGCAAACAGGAUUAGAUACCCUGGUAGUCCACGCCGUAAACGAUGAGUGCUAAGUGUUGGAGGGUUUCCGCCCUUCAGUGCUGCAGCUAACGCAUUAAGCACUCCGCCUGGGGAGUACGACCGCAAGGUUGAAACUCAAAGGAAUUGACGGGGGCCCGCACAAGCGGUGGAGCAUGUGGUUUAAUUCGAAGCAACGCGAAGAACCUUACCAGGUCUUGACAUCCUUUGACCACUCUAGAGAUAAAGCUUCCCCUUCGGGGGCAAAGUGACAGGUGGUGCAUGGUUGUCGUCAGCUCGUGUCGUGAGAUGUUGGGUUAAGUCCCGCAACGAGCGCAACCCUUAUUGUUAGUUGCCAUCAUUCAGUUGGGCACUCUAGCAAGACUGCCGGUGACAAACCGGAGGAAGGUGGGGAUGACGUCAAAUCAUCAUGCCCCUUAUGACCUGGGCUACACACGUGCUACAAUGGGAAGUACAACGAGUCGCGAAGUCGCGAGGCUAAGCUAAUCUCUUAAAGCUUCUCUCAGUUCGGAUUGCAGGCUGCAACUCGCCUGCAUGAAGCCGGAAUCGCUAGUAAUCGCGGAUCAGCACGCCGCGGUGAAUACGUUCCCGGGCCUUGUACACACCGCCCGUCACACCACGAGAGUUUGUAACACCCGAAGUCGGUGAGGUAACCUUUUGGAGCCAGCCGCCUAAGGUGGGAUAGAUGAUUGGG
rnacentral:rRNA from 1 species